UACGGAGGGUGCAAGCGUUGUUCGGAUUUAUUGGGCGUAAAGCGCGUGUAGGCGGUCUCUUAAGUCUGAUGUGAAAGCCCUGGGCUCAACCCAGGAAGUGCAUUGGAUACUGGGAGACUUGAAUACGGGAGAGGGUAGUGGAAUUCCUAGUGUAGCGGUGAAAUGCGUAGAUAUCUGGAGGAACACCGGUGGCGAAGGCGGCAUCCUGGACCGGCAUUGACGCUGAGGAGCGAAAGCCAGGGGAGCAAACAGG
rnacentral:rRNA from 1 species